GAAUUUUUAAGUGCCGUAUAUUAGAUUUUAAAUUUGCAUUUUUAUGUGUUAAAUCCAAUCGUGUUUUUAUGAAUUUUGGUGAGUUUAUAGAGAAAUGAGUUUAUGAUUUGAAAAUUGUAUUUGUGUUUUUAGCCAAAUUGUGUUUUUAUGCUUCUUGGAGUUGUGUAUUUAAUCAACAUGUAUUUUUUGGGGUUUUAAUAAAUUUUGAUUUAAUAACAUGGGUUAGGGGAAAUCAAGUUGGGAGUCCGGUCCCCGAAGGGGGUUAGGGAUGUGGAAUAGGGUUAGGGUUAGGGUUAGGGUUAGGUGUUAGGAAAUGAGCAGGCCCGGCUAUGCCGGAACCUGAGUGCACGGGCCAUCAUUGGGACUGGUGUUGGUGCCCCCUGUUCAAAAAAUUACCCUUAAGCGGGUGUAGUGCACUGGGGUUGGGCCAUUCGCGACGUUUCGGCUUAAUUUAGCCUUCUUCAGGCUGGCCCACCCGCUCUUGUGUUCAAUUUCGCCACUCUGGGCCUUUUAUACUCCUGUUUUUCAUUCCUGUUUUUCUUAACUUUUUCUGUUUCUUAGUUUUUACUUGUUCUCAGUUUUUUCUGCUUCAGCUCUCCCUUUUUCUGUUGUUCUUUGUUCUUUCUGUUUUUCUUUACCUUUCUCUUUGUAUUUCUGUUUUUCUUUAUACUUGUUCUUUAUUCUUUGUUUUUCUUUACCUUUCUCUUUGUAUUUCUGUUUUUCCUUAUACUUGUUCUUUAUUCUUUGUUUUUCUUUACCUUUCUCUUUGUAUUUCUCUUUGUCUUUCUCUUUUUAUCUCUGUUGUUCUUUUUUCCUUUCUGUUGUUCUUUAUUAUUUCUCUUUAUUCCUCUUGUGUUCUUUUCUUUAUUCUUUCUUAUAUUUCUUUAAAUGGCACCCCCUUCUCAUUAGACAUCCCGUCCUUUGUACUGUAUUUUUCUUUUAUGGCACCCCCUUCCUGUAAAUCCUUUCCUUUUGUACUCUGUCUUUUUUCUGACCUUUCUUGUCUUUUUUCUCUUAAUUUAGGUUCUUAGGGCUCCCUUAAGAUUAGGGCUAGAAGGGGAAGGGGAGGGGGGCAAAGGGGUUAGGGUUAGGAAAAGGUAGUGGGUGGGGGGCUCCCCAUAGUUAGGGAGAGAGGCAAUGGGCAGGGGCACCACCAAUCCCAUGAGGCACUGGCUGGUUAGGUGGUAGGAAAUGAGCAGGCCCGGCUAUGCCGGAACCUGAGUGCACGGGCCAUCAAUGGGACUGGUGUUGGUGCCCCCUGUUCAAAAAAUUACCCUUAAGCGGGUGUAGUGCACUGUGGUGGGCCAUUCGCGACGUUUCGGCUUUUCUUAGCCUUCUUCAGGCUGGCCCACCCGCUUUUGUGUUCUGUUUCGCCACUCUGGGCCUUUUAUACUGUUCUUUUUCCUUUCUGUUUUUCUUAACUUUUUCUGGUUCUUAGUUUUUUUCUGUUCUCAGUUUUUUCUGCUUUAACUCUCCCUUUUUCUAUCUUUUUCUGUUGUCCUUUGUUCUUUCUGUUUUUCCUUAUCUUUCUCUUUGUAUUUCUGUUUUUCUUUAUUCUUGUUCUUUAUUCUUUCUGUUUUUCCUUAUCUUUCUCUUUGUAUAUCUGUUGUUCUUUAUUCAUCCUGUUGUUCUUUAUUAUUUCUCUUUAUUCCUCUUGUGUUCUUUACUUUAUUCUUUCUUAUAUUUCUUUAAUGGCACCCCCUUCUCUUUCGACAUCCCGUCCUAUGAUCAGUAUUUUUCUCUUUUAUGGCACCCCCUUCCUGUAAAUCCUUUCUUUUUAUACUCUGUCCUUUUUUCUGACUUUUCUUGUCCUUUUUUCUCUUAGUUUAGGUUUUUAGGGGUCCCUGGGUUUGGGCUAGAAGGGGAGGGGGGAGGGGGGCAAAGGGGUUAGGGUUAGGAAAAGGUAGUGGGUGGGGGGCUCCCCAUAGUUAGGGAGAGAGGCAAUAGGCAGGGGCACCACCAAUCCCAUGAGGCACUGGCUGGUUAGGUGGUAGGGAAAUGAGCAGGCCCGGCUAUGCCGGAACCUGAGUGCACGGGCCAUCAAUGGGACUGGUGUUGGUGCCCCCUGUUCAAAAAAUUACCCUUAAGCGGGUGUAGUGCACUGUGGUGGGCCAUUCGCGACGUUUCGGCUUUUCUUAGCCUUCUUCAGGCUGGCCCACCCGCUUUUGUGUUCUGUUUCGCCACUCUGGGCCUUUUAUACUGUUCUUUUCCUUUCUGUUUUUCUUAACUUUUUCUGGUUCUUAG
ensembl:lncRNA